UAACUCAUCUUGGCAAAGAUAUAGCGUCAUGUAUCGCGUUUCUUUCGCGCUUUCUCUUUGUUGAUGUAUGAUAUAUUGAAUAGUUUGUGAUAUAUAAGGUUUUAUUAUUACUAUUUUUCUAAUAAAUGAUCUUUAUCUUGAAGGCACUAUUCAAUUUUUUCCACCAGAAUUGAGGAUAGAACCUAAAUUACCCCUAUUAUACGUCAGUAGGUGAGGAAACGUGGUUGGGAGAUGGUUGGAGUGGAAUAAAAAGUGAGAAUAAAAGAGAAAGGGCUUCAAGGAUUGCAUCGAGCAGAAUGAAACUGCGAGCGACAGAUUGUGAGAACUGCCAAUAUGUCAUUCGAAUGUCAAUAAGUCGAGGGAAGACCGAGAUUUUAACCAUUUGAAUUGUUGUAAUUUUUAGAAAUUUUGCUAUUAAAUUUUGAAUGAAAGUUUUUUAAAAUUGAUCAAUUAAUUUAACAUCUGUAUUUUUUUUUUUUUUGUAAAAUCAUGUUUUCAUAAAAACAUCUAUUAUUUUUGCAAAUUUGUUGGAUCAUAAAGUUAAUAUUACUUAACUUGCAAAAAAAGGAUUGAAAUCGCCAUGUUAUAUCUUCGCAUUCAAUUCAAUAUAAAAUAUAAAAUUAUACAAUUGGAUAUUCAUGUAUUUAUCAUAUAUCUAUCAUUGUAAAUGUAAAGAUUUUUCAAAUGGAAACGAAUAUUUAGAUUGAACUCUGCUUUUUUUUGAAAUGUGUUACGAUUGAACAAUUUAGAAAAUAACAAUAAAUAUUCAAUCGAAUAUCGAAAAGAAAACGUUUAUGUUAAAAGCAUUGUGCUAAAAUCUAAAAUACGACAAAAUCUUGAGUAAACUGAAAAAGAUGUCUUAUCUUUCGCAACUUUCGAAGAGGAUCAAAAUGAACAGAAACAUGGUUCUCUACUAAAAUGAUUGAUGAUCAAAUGGGGGAAGAAAAGAAGCAACUUGAUUUUAUAUCAUUUACAAAAAAGUUUUGUGAAGUUCAAAAGAAAUUUCAGACAUUAAAAAAUUUAUCG